rnacentral:rRNA from 1 species
CCUUCGGGCGCUGACGAGUGGCGGACGGGUGAGUAACGCGUAGGAAUCUGCCUCAUAGUGGGGGACAACGUGGGGAAACCCACGCUAAUACCGCAUACGCCCUACGGGGGAAAGCGGGGGCUCUUCGGACCUCGCGCUAUGAGAUGAGCCUGCGUUAGAUUAGCUAGUUGGUAGGGUAAAGGCCUACCAAGGCGACGAUCUAUAGCUGGUCUGAGAGGACGAUCAGCCACACUGGGACUGAGACACGGCCCAGACUCCUACGGGAGGCAGCAGUGGGGAAUAUUGGACAAUGGGCGCAAGCCUGAUCCAGCAAUACCGCGUGUGUGAAGAAGGCCCUAGGGUUGUAAAGCACUUUCAAUGGGGAGGAAAACCUGCCGGUCAAUACCCGGUAGCUUGACAUUACCUUUAGAAGAAGCACCGGCUAACUCCGUGCCAGCAGCCGCGGUAAUACGGAGGGUGCGAGCGUUAAUCGGAAUUACUGGGCGUAAAGCGUGCGUAGGCGGUUCGUUAAGUCAGAUGUGAAAGCCCUGGGCUCAACCUGGGAACUGCAUUUGAAACUGGCGAACUAGAGUUGAGUAGAGGGGAGUGGAAUUUCAGGUGUAGCGGUGAAAUGCGUAGAUAUCUGAAGGAACACCAGUGGCGAAGGCGACUCCCUGGACUCAAACUGACGCUGAGGUACGAAAGCGUGGGUAGCAAACAGGAUUAGAUACCCUGGUAGUCCACGCCGUAAACGAUGUCAACUAGCCGUUGGUCCUAUUUACAGGAUUAGUGGCGCAGCUAACGCAUUAAGUUGACCGCCUGGGGAGUACGGCCGCAAGGUUAAAACUCAAAUGAAUUGACGGGGGCCCGCACAAGCGGUGGAGCAUGUGGUUUAAUUCGAUGUAACGCGAAGAACCUUACCUACCCUUGACAUCCAUAGAAUCAA